rnacentral:lncRNA from 1 species
UUCCUUAUGCAUACAUAUCUUUUGAAGUCUUCGUAUGUAUGUAUUUUUGUUGCCAGGAGUGUUCUGUAUAUUAUUUUCUUAAGAAUAUCAACAUCUCUUUUGAAAGAGAUGUUUGCUUAGCUUAGUUUAAUACUAAAUGUUAGGCAGUCUUUUGUUUAUUCCCUAAUGGAAUGGGCCUUCUUUUUACUUCCUUAUUUUGUACUUUACGUGCAC